rnacentral:rRNA from 1 species
AUUGAACGCUGGCGGCAGGCUUAACACAUGCAAGUCGAACGAGUGGCGGACGGGUGAGUAAUGCUUGGGAAUCUAGCUUAUGGAGGGGGAUAACUACGGGAAACUGUAGCUAAUACCGCGUACCAUAGGAUGAGCCCAAGUGGGAUUAGGUAGUUGGUGAGGUAAAGGCUCACCAAGCCGACGAGCUCUAGCUGGUCUGAGAGGAUGACCAGCCAGAAUGGGACUUGGCGACGGCCAAGAGUCGAACGGCGGGCAGCAGUGGGGGAUGUUGCGGGAUGGGGGGAGACUGACGCAGGCAUACGGAGUGAAUAGAGAAGGCCUUCAGGUUGUAGAGUUCUUUCGGUAGCGAGGCGUUAACUACAGGAGAAGCACCGGCUGACUCCGGACCAGCAGCCGCGGUAAUAC